rnacentral:miRNA from 10 species
UCUGCAGGUUUUAUCAGCCCUA